UACGGAGGAUGCAAGCGUUAUCCGGAAUGAUUGGGCGUAAAGCGUCCGCAGGUGGCAAUGUAAGUCUGCUGUUAAAGAGUGAGGCUCAACCUCAUAAGAGCAGUGGAAACUACAUAGCUAGAGUGCGUUCGGGGCAAAGGGAAUUCCUGGUGUAGCGGUGAAAUGCGUAGAGAUCAGGAAGAACACCGGUGGCGAAAGCGGCUCUCUGGGACGGUACUGACGCUGAGACGCGAAAGCGUGGGGAGCAAACAGG
rnacentral:rRNA from 1 species